rnacentral:misc_RNA from 1 species
GUGAAGAAAUGACGGCAAUACAUUCACAGACGCUUUAAAUUUGAGCAGACUGCACUGCGCAGUGUGUACGUUAGUUUCGAAACGGAAGUUAUGCUUAUUUAGGUUUCCGAAGAUUAAUUUUUCAUUGUGAUUGUUAUGGCAAAUGCAGGUUUUGGGACUGGGAAAAGUUUAAUUGUAUUAGCUAUUGUUGUGGGGUGUUUUGCUAUAUUAUGGCCAAAAAUAUUCUAUCCAAUGAUGCAGACUGCUUUUGCUAUGACAUCGCCCAAAAUAGACAGCGAUGGAUUUCGAGAAACUGAUCGGCCUCCUCAUCUUCAUCCUGGUUCCAUCAAUCCUCGAAUGAGGAGUUCUAUGUCAGAUGAUGUGCAAGAUAAAUUUCACAUGAGGGAAGGGAGGCCAUUUCCUCAUCCUCAAGCUAGACAGCCUGUUAAAACACAGCCUAAAUCAGGUGGAGCCAUGAGUAUUAUUAUGCCCAUUUACACAGUGGGAAUAAUUGUUUUCUUUGUGUAUACAGUUUUAAAGCUUGUCUUUAAAAAGCCUUCUGAGGCUGAUAAAAAGCCCUUAAUCAAGGAUUUUCACAUGGAUCCAGAGUAUAGAAAAUUCGUAUGCCAACAGUCUUCUAAAGAAACUACAAAAAAUUGCCGGGAAGAAAAAAGAUCUAAAAAGAGUUCAAAUCUUUCUGAAACUACCAUUCCCGAAAGUUGUGCUGAAGAGUUAGAUGCUAAAGACUAUGAAAUCUACAAGUUAAAAAAAAAGCUGGAAGAAACGGAGCAAGCAAUGGAGCGAAUAAUGAAGCAUAUGGGUGCAAUGAGUGCAUGUCUAUCAGAACGUAUGACAAAUGAAAAAAAUGUAAGCCCUGCUGAACAAACUGAAAUUAGAAAUAAUUUAACAUGUUUGAUAUGUGGUAGAUUGAUGAAUUAAAGAUGAAUAAGGAUAACAAAGUAAAAGCACUUAGGAAAAAAACGUAAUAUGCAUGUUUCAGUUGUGCACUGAAAAAAUAAGAAUAGAUGUUGCCAUGAGCAAAGGCAUAAAGGUAAAGCUAAAAAUCAUGGCAGCAGUAAUGCACAGAAAAUGUAUCGAAUGGAUGAGGAAAGAAAUGCUUUGGAACAUGAACAUUGCAAGAAAUUGCAGGAAGAUCUCACAAAACUCAUAAAAAU